rnacentral:rRNA from 1 species
GGAAGUCUUCCACAAUGGGCGGAAAGACCUGAUGGAGCAACGCCGCGUGUGUGAUGAAGGGUUUCGGCUCGUAAAACACUGUUGUAAGAGAAGAAUGACAUUGAGAGUAACUGUUCAAUGUGUGACGGUAUCUUACCAGAAAGGAACGGCUAAAUACGUGCCAG